GCGCCAGUGGUGCAUAGCGCAGCACCGCUGCCUGGAAAGCAGACGGUGCGGGUUCGAGUCCCGCCUGGUGCG
rnacentral:tRNA from 1 species